rnacentral:rRNA from 1 species
AGUGGCGGACGGGUGAGUAACACGUAAGAAUUUGCCUUUAGGAGGGGGACAACAACUGGAAACGGUUGCUAAUACCCCAUAUGCUUUCGAGUGAAAUGGAUUUUUCCGCCUAAAGAGAAGCUUGCGGCUGAUUAGCUUGUUGGUGAGGUAAUGGCUCACCAAGGCGACGAUCAGUAUCUGGUUUGAGAGGAUGAUCAGACACACUGGAACUGAGACACGGUCCAGACUCCUACGGGAGGCAGCAGUGGGGAAUUUUCCGCAAUGGGCGAAAGCCUGACGGAGCAAUCUCGCGUGAGGGAUGACGGCCUAUGGGUUGUAAACCUCUUUUUUCAGGGAGGAACAAAAUGACGUGUACCUGAAGAAUAAGCAUCGGCUAACUCCGUGCCAGCAGCCGCGGUAAGACGGAGGAUGCAAGUGUUAUCCGGAAUCACUGGGCGUAAAGCGUCUGUAGGUGGUUUGAUAAGUCAACUGUUAAAUCUUGAAGCUCAACUUCAAAAUCGCAGUCGAAACUAUUAGACUAGAGUAUAGUAGGGGUAAAGGGAAUUUCCAGUGGAGCGGUGAAAUGCGUAGAUAUUGGAAAGAACACCGAUGGCGAAGGCACUUUACUGGGCUAUUACUGACACUCAGAGACGAAAGCUAGGGUAGCAAAUGGGAUUAGAUACCCCAGUAGUCCUAGCCGUAAACAAUGGAUACUAGAUGU